CUCUUCCAAAACGCUCUCCAUUUCGAAACAAAUUGUGAGUGGUAACGCUGCUCAAAAACCCGGUGAAGCUACCAAAUUGUGAAUUUGUGAGUGGUAACUCAAACUUUGCUAAUGUCAGGUCCCGGUCGAGGUGGAGGAAGAAGAGGUGGAAGGGCGCCGAGUCGAGGCUGCUGAGGUGGUCGAGGUUGCCGAGAAAAAGGUGGAAGGCAUUCGAUUUUGUUUCACUUAAAAUAAUUGAGUGAAUUACCCACUUUCCUCAAUUGCUAGAAACCUUGAAUUAAACAUAAGUCUUUCAUAUUGAUCCAAAUAGAAGGAUAUUUUGAUUCAGAUUCUUGGUAUGGAUUAAUUUGAUUGGCUAUGUAGCACAUUGUAUUAGUUGGUAGUUAUAAAAAAAAAAAAAUUUCUUUUAAUUUCUUGGAUUGCUUAUGCAAUUCUAUGAUGAAUUGUAAAUGAUCUUGAUCCUAAUUGUUGAUGUUUAAGGACAAGUUGGAUGUCGCGGAAGAAAGGAGCUGCCGCUGGCACAUAUUGUGGCUUGAUUGUAAUCCUAUUUAUAAAAGCAUUGUAAUUUUUUUUAUUUUUUUAGGAAUGAUAUCGUAAAAUUACAACUAUUUAUUAAUAAUAAUCCA